UACUGUUGUUUUUACUUGAAGCUUUCUUAGAUUUUGAAACGAAGUAAACACGUAAUGUGUGUUGCUAAUGUUGGGCCAUGUAACAUGUAAUACAUUUACGUUUUAAUGAAUAGUCUAACGAGUUAUAGUCGUUGUACUCUAUUGUUAUAAUAUGUCUUUUUGACUGAAUACAUGUUUGUUUUAUUUGUCUAUAUCUUAGAUUCGCAGCUGGACACAUCCUUCUACACUGUAUGCAAACAUGCAACAUCAUAACACACAGUACAAGGAGUCAGACUGGCAUAUGAGGAGCAAAGGAACCCAGACAGUAGCAUCGUUUCACAAUGUUUCCAUCAUCAUCAUCAGUGGAUGCCUUUGCCGUCCGUAGCCUGAGAUUUCAGAUUUGCAGCAAAAAAAUUGAUUUUCUCAUUUAUUGGAAUGCUAUGCAGGUUUUACCUUGCAGCCAUCCAUUACAAUGUCACCAAGCCGUAACAAAAGCAGGAGAGGGAAAGUACAAGGCUAU